rfam:Salmo salar isolate Sally breed double haploid chromosome ssa25, whole genome shotgun sequence.
UGUAUGAACUCAGUAAGUCGCUCUGGAUAAGAGCGUCUGCUAAAUGACUGAAA